rnacentral:rRNA from 1 species
AUGCCAGCUUGCUGGUGGAUUAGUGGCGAACGGGUGAGUAACACGUGAGUAACCUGCCCUUAACUCUGGGAUAAGCCUGGGAAACUGGGUCUAAUACCGGAUAUGACUCCUCAUCGCAUGGUGGGGGGUGGAAAGCUUUAUUGUGGUUUUGGAUGGACUCGCGGCCUAUCAGCUUGUUGGUGAGGUAAUGGCUCACCAAGGCGACGACGGGUAGCCGGCCUGAGAGGGUGACCGGCCACACUGGGACUGAGACACGGCCCAGACUCCUACGGGAGGCAGCAGUGGGGAAUAUUGCACAAUGGGCGAAAGCCUGAUGCAGCGACGCCGCGUGAGGGAUGACGGCCUUCGGGUUGUAAACCUCUUUCAGUAGGGAAGAAGCGAAAGUGACGGUACCUGCAGAAGAAGCGCCGGCUAACUACGUGCCAGCAGCCGCGGUAAUACGUAGGGCGCAAGCGUUAUCCGGAAUUAUUGGGCGUAAAGAGCUCGUAGGCGGUUUGUCGCGUCUGCCGUGAAAGUCCGGGGCUCAACUCCGGAUCUGCGGUGGGUACGGGCAGACUAGAGUGAUGUAGGGGAGACUGGAAUUCCUGGUGUAGCGGUGAAAUGCGCAGAUAUCAGGAGGAACACCGAUGGCGAAGGCAGGUCUCUGGGCAUUAACUGACGCUGAGGAGCGAAAGCAUGGGGAGCGAACAGGAUUAGAUACCCUGGUAGUCCAUGCCGUAAACGUUGGGCACUAGGUGUGGGGGACAUUCCACGUUUUCCGCGCCGUAGCUAACGCAUUAAGUGCCCCGCCUGGGGAGUACGGCCGCAAGGCUAAAACUCAAAGGAAUUGACGGGGGCCCGCACAAGCGGCGGAGCAUGCGGAUUAAUUCGAUGCAACGCGAAGAACCUUACCAAGGCUUGACAUGAACCGGAAAUACCUGGAAACAGGUGCCCCGCUUGCGGUCGGUUUACAGGUGGUGCAUGGUUGUCGUCAGCUCGUGUCGUGAGAUGUUGGGUUAAGUCCCGCAACGAGCGCAACCCUCGUUCUAUGUUGCCAGCGCGUUAUGGCGGGGACUCAUAGGAGACUGCCGGGGUCAACUCGGAGGAAGGUGGGGACGACGUCAAAUCAUCAUGCCCCUUAUGUCUUGGGCUUCACGCAUGCUACAAUGGCCGGUACAAAGGGUUGCGAUACUGUGAGGUGGAGCUAAUCCCAAAAAGCCGGUCUCAGUUCGGAUUGGGGUCUGCAACUCGACCCCAUGAAGUCGGAGUCGCUAGUAAUCGCAGAUCAGCAACGCUGCGGUGAAUACGUUCCCGGGCCUUGUACACACCGCCCGUCAAGUCACGAAAGUUGUGUAACACCCGAAGCCGGUGGCCUAAC